rnacentral:tRNA from 1 species
GAUGCUGCGCCGGUCGAACGGAUAACUUUGAUGACGUUAAAUAAGGACUUCAAUCCCCGCAUCU